ensembl:lncRNA
AAAAUAUGCACGCGCUUUAUCAAUCAGAUUUCCACGCAAGAGUGCUCUGCUUGCCCCUGGAGGAACCCUGGGCAAUCUUAUUCCCUGAAGCUCGGGCCCCUGCUGCACUCGAUCUUUGCAGCGUUGGCCUCUGGGCCCCCUCCCGCUUAGUUCCCAGAUAAAAGCAGCCCGGCCGCACCUGCCUUGCCUGUGCAAACUCUGCAAGACUCUAACGCCAUCAGCCCCGGUCUGAUUGCAGCCGCCGGUCCACAGCCCCCAAUCAUUCACAACGCCAAUUAGCCCGCGCCGCGUCCUCCGGCGGGGCGGGGGCGAACGCGCGGGAGUCCAUUUCCAGCGUCCUGACGCCACCUGAGUCCCGCACGCGGUAAUGCGGGCUUCCAAGGGCAAGGCCGCCGCCGGUCCCUCCGUGCCAGCGCAUUUCCCUUUCUUCCAGCUUCGAGAACAACUGAAGUGUGGUGAGAGAAGUGACUCUGAAAAGUCUGCUUCAAAAGGACCCAACAUUUGCUGGCACACUGGCAGGCACCUGUAAUCCCAGCAACUCCAGAGGCUGAAACGAGAGGAUCCCUUGAGCCUGGAAGUUUGAGGCUGCAAUAAGCUAUGAUGGUGUCACUGCACUCCAGCAUGGGUGAUAGGGUAAGACCCCAUCUCUUAAAAAAAAAAAAGAGGGCCCAAUACUAGAAAUGUUCAAUGUGUGAUCUGAAGAUUUCAAUCUUUGAGUUGUCAAGAAGAGGAAAUUUUAACUACUGCAGAACUCAAUUUUUAUUUAACUUGUAACAUUUUAAAAAGAAAGUGUUAAUAAGGAUUUUGGUUUGGUGUCAUGAAAACAAGCUGCAGUUCUGCACGUUAGCCCAACUUCAGAACUCAGACUUAAGUACAUCAACCCGAACAGGUUUACCCUAGCUGUGGCCUUAAGCAAGACCUUCUUGAGGGGCUGAAUCAAUACUGAAGUGCUCCGGGGAGCCUCUCCCAGAGAUCCCCUGGAGAUUUUAUGGGCCUCAUUAAGCCCAAAGACAGAAAACAAAUUUCCCUGUAGGGUAGAGUUCCUUAUACCAAACCUUUUACUCUGCGCCUGCAAUUGUAAGCCUUGUUUACUGUUUGAAGACUAUGACCUUAUAUUUUAAAUGUUAGUGUGUUUGAGUAAUAGCACCAGCCUAGAUGUACCAAUACUACUUCUCUAGAAUGAUACUCAUAUAAGUUAAAUGUCAAUAUAUUCACACUUUAUAUUAGUUUGUUUUCACAUUGCUAUAAAGAUACUACCCACCACUGGGUAAUUUACAAGCAAAGGAGGUUUAGUUGAUUCACAGUUCCACAUGGCUGGAGAGGCCUCAGGAAACUUACAAUCAUGGCAGAAGUGUAAGCAGGCAUGUAUUACAUGGUGGCGGGAGAAGGAAGCAUGAAGGAGGAACUUCCAAACACUUCCAAAACCACCAGAUUUCAUGAGGACUCACUCACUAUCAUGGUAACAGCAUGGUAGAAACCACCCCCAUAAUUUAAUCGCCUCCCUCCUUUGACAUGUGGGGAUUCCAUGUCCCUCCUUUGGCAUGUGGGAAUUACAAUUUGAGAUGAUACUUUGGGGAAAGGACACAGAGUCAGACCAUAUCACACUCCCAUCUCAACUGACUGACUGACUUCUCUGGGUUAGUCUUCUGGGACCUUUCUAUGUGUACAAAAAUAUAGCUUCUAUCCUAGAGUUUUAUCUGUUUAUGUAUUUAUCAUGUAUCUCCCCAGAAGACUGCCAGUUUCAUAAGGAAACAACAGUGUUUUGUUCAUCCUGUGCACCCUAGCACGGUGUUUGCCACACAAUGGGUAUGCAGUAAAUAUUUGUGAAGUGAAUAAAUGAGUAAAUGUGCAGACGCACUUGUUGGGAUCACAUUUACAUGCCUGUGAGAAUGGAAGAAAGGGCCUAGGAAGAGGAAAGGGUAGAAGAUUAAUUCUUUUACCUAUCAAGUUAUGAGUUUGCA